rnacentral:rRNA from 1 species
GUCCACGCCGUAAACGAUGAGUGCUAGGUGUCACGGGCUUUGACCCUCGUGGUGCCGUAGCUAACGCAAUAAGCACUCCGCCUGGGGAGUACGGUCGCAAGACUAAAACUCAAAGGAAUUGACGGGGGCCCGCACAAGCGGUGGAGCAUGUGGUUUAAUUCGACGCGACGCGCAGAACCUUACCUGGGCUAGAAAACACAGGAACCUGGGUGAAAACUCGGGGUGCCCUUCGGGGAAUCUGUGGUUAGGUGCUGCAUGGCUGUCGU